ACCCAUGCAAAGGAAAUAAUCGAACUAACACUGCCUGCUCUUUUCCUUGGUUUCUUGCCACCUUAAUUAUAGUUCAUCUGGGCUAUGUGUGUACUUGCUGCCUUGGGUAGAACAUUUUCCAGGACUGUAAGAAAGCAGAGUGAAAGCUCAUAGAUCAGUGGCUAGCCCUGUUUUCUACUGGGAUAAACCUUGUGGAAGAUCUCUUCAUGCACAAAGUGACACACAAACUUACCCUUAUCACAGUUACAUAUUAAGAAUUUUAUAUUUGUACAUUUUAAUG
rnacentral:lncRNA from 1 species